GCGCGAAAACUUUACAAUGCCGGCAACGGCGAUAAGGGGACCUCGAGUGCCAGGUUACAAAUCUGGCUGUCGUGAUGCCUAAAAAGCAUUGCAUAGCAAGGGCCGGGCAAGACCGGUGCCAGCCGCCGCGGUAACACCGGCGGCUCGAGUGGUAACCGUUAUUAUUGGGUCUAAAGGGUCUGUAGCCGGCCGGAUAAGUCUCUUGGGAAAUCCAGCAGGUUAACUGUUGGGCUUUCAGGGGAUACUGGCUGGCUCGAGGCCGGGAGGGGUGAGAGGUACUUCAGGGGUAGGGGUGAAAUCUUGUGAUCCUUGAAGGACCACCAGUGGCGAAGGCGUCUCACCAGAACGGACCUGACGGCAAGGGACGAAAGCUAGGGGCACGAACC
rnacentral:rRNA from 1 species